UACGUAGGGCGCAAGCGUUGUCCGGAAUUAUUGGGCGUAAAGAGCUUGUAGGCGGUUUGUCGCGUCUGCUGUGAAAUUUCGGGGCUCAACCCCGAACUUGCAGUGGGUACGGGCAGACUAGAGUGUGGUAGGGGAGACUGGAAUUCCUGGUGUAGCGGUGAAAUGCGCAGAUAUCAGGAGGAACACCGACGGCGAAGGCAGCUCGCUGGGACGGUACUGACGCUGAGGCGCGAAAGCGUGGGGAGCGAACAGG
rnacentral:rRNA from 1 species